rnacentral:rRNA from 1 species
UAACAAAAGUUGUUUUAAGCUAAAAUAAAGUUUAUAAAGCAAUUUCUUACUAUAAUAAAAACAUUAAAAAAUAAAGUAACGGAGAAAGAAAAUUUAUAUAUUAAUAAACUCUUAAGUACUGUAAAGGAAAACAUUAACCAUCAAAAAGCAGCUGUAAUAAGUGUACCUUUUGCAUAAUAGUUUAGCUAGAACUAAAUUUAAAUUAAAAAUUCUCGAAACCUAAUGAGCUAUUAUAGAUUUUAUAUUAGUAAUAUAAACCAAGUGUAGCAAAACUUCAUUAAAAACCUAUAAUAGAAAUUAAAUGUUAUCGUAUUAGGUGAUAGCUAGUUUUUUCAUAAAAGCAUAUAAGUGCCUAGGUCUACAAAUAAUUACGAAUAAUAAAAUAUAAGUAAAAUUAAGAUCUGCUAAAUUUUUGAGGAUAAGCUCAAAAAUACAACACUAAAAAAUAUAAAUUCCAAUUUAAAUUUAGGCCUGAAAUUAGCCAUAAUUUUAAAACUUGUUACAAAUUAUUAAACAAAAAAAUAAAAUUUAUCUACUUAAAAAAAUGAAAAAAAUUCUUAAAUAAAUAAGAAAUAAAUCCAUGCUAAAAUGAGUAUUUAUAUAAAUAAUAACCUACACACUUAAAUUAGGUAAUAAAAAAUUAACAAACUAAAUAAAUUUUUAAAAGGAACUCGGCAAAUAUUUGUUCUGCCUGUUUAACAAAAACAUCACUCUCUGUAAAACAUAGAGAGCCGAGCCUGCCCAGUGAUCAGUGACAUGAUUUAACGGCCGCGGUACUCUAACCGUGCAAAGGUAGCAUAAUCAUUUGCUCUAUAAUUGAGGGCUUGUAUGAAUGGUUUGACAAGAACAAUACUGUCUCUUAAAAAUUUACUAAAAUUUGGUUUUUAGGUGAAGAAACCUAAAUAAAAUUGAAAGACAAGAAGACCCUAUCGAGCUUAAAAAAUACGUUAACUAUAUAGAAAACUAACACUAACGAAAAAAUUUGGUUGGGGCGACUGAGGAACAAAAAAAGCUUCCUUUAAUAUAAAAAACUUAUAUGUGUUGAUCCAAAAUAUUUGAUUAAAAAAAUUAGUUACCGUAGGGAUAACAGCAUAAUCUUUUUAGAGAGAACAUAUCGAAAAAAAGGUUUGUGACCUCGAUGUUGGACUAGGAUAUCCUAAUAGAUUGCAGAAGUCUUUAAAGGUUAGUCUGUUCGACUAAUAAAAUCCUACACGAUCUGAGUUCAGACCGGCGUGAGCCAGGUCAGUUUCUAUCUCCAAUUAAAACCUUUAGUUUAGUACGCAAGGAUCAACCUCUCCUAUAAGCACGCUAUCCUUAAUUUCUUAUUUGUCUUACAUAAUAAAAUUUUAUAAAGAUGGCAGAGAAAAUGUAUU